UCCCAGUUCGGAUUGUAGUCUGCAACCCGACUACAUGAAGCUGGAAUCGCUAGUAAUCGCGAAUCAGAAUGUCGCGGUGAAUACGUUCCCGGGUCUUGUACACACCGCCCGUCACACCAUGGGAGUCGGAAAUGCCCAAAGUCAGUGACCUAACCGAAAGGGAGGAGCUGCCGAAGGUGGAGCCGGUAACUGGGGUGAAGUCGUAACAAGGUAUC
rnacentral:rRNA from 1 species